rnacentral:rRNA from 1 species
CCUACGGGAGACCGCAGUGUGGAAUAUUGGUCCAUGGGCUUACGCCUGAACCAGCCAAGUCGCGUGAGGGAAGACUGCCCUAUGGGUUUUACACCUCUUUUGUCAGGGAGCAACGCCGGCUACGUGUCGCCGGACUGAGAGUACCUGCAGAACAAGCAUCGGCUAACUCCGUGCCAGCCGCCGCGGUAAUACGGAGGAUGCGAGCGUUAUACGGAUUUCUUGGGUUUAAAGGGUGCGUAGGCGGAAUGCCAAGUCAGCGGUAAAAUCGCGGGGCUCAACCUCGCUCCGCCGUUGAAACUGGCGUGCUUGAGUGGGCGAGAAGUAUGCGGAAUGCGUGGUGGAGCGGUGAAAUGCAUAGAUAGCACGCAGAACUCCGAUUGCGAAGGCAGCAUACCGGCGCCCAACUGACGCUGAAGCACGAAAGCGUGGGUAUCGAACAGGAUUAGAUACCCUGGUAGUC